UAUGUUUCUCAGGGCGGGGUGCAAGUCCCCACCGGCGGUGAUGCGGCAGCGUAAAGCUCCGUCAGCCCGCGAGCGCCCAUGGUUGGGGUCAGCAGAUUCGGUGAGAAUCCGAAGCCGACGGUAACAGUCCGGAUGGAAGAGAACGGUC
rnacentral:ncRNA from 2 species